rnacentral:rRNA from 1 species
GGCAAACUUGGCAUGUGAUACCUUUUCGGAAAGCCCAAAGAGAGCCCUCCGACGAAAGAAGCAAGACAAUGGAAUUUUUCCAUUGACUUUUUGUCGACUCCAAAUUUUGACCUUUAAGUACUUUUUCGGGCAUUUUCGUGAUUUGUGCUAUAUUACGGACCCAAAAUUACUUUUUCAAGCAUUGUUUUCGAAUAUUUUUCAUGCAUCAAAGCUCGUUAAGACUAGAUGGGGUAUCCCUACAUGGCGGGUGGGACCCACGGCGAACGGUUCAUCAAGACUUAAAAAAAGAAUAUAUACGAUUGCAUUGCAUAUACUAACGGAUGCGAUCAUACCAGCACUAAUGCACCGGAUCCCAUAAGAACUCCGCAGUUAAGCGUGCUUGGGCGAGAGUAGUACUAGGAUGGGUGACCUCCCGGGAAGUCCUCGUGUUGCAUCCCUCUUUUUUUUUUUUUUUUUUUGGUUAAAACUUUAUGACUCCAUAACUUCUACACCGAAU